rnacentral:misc_RNA from 1 species
GAUUGUACUACAAGGAACUAUUACAUCGAAGCUCAAGUUGGGAGAAUCCAAGACAUUUCAGGAGUUUCACUUUAUUUCGUGGCCUGAUCAUGGUGUUCCAAAUAUACACGACUUCAUCGAGUCCAUGUACAGUGUUCGUCAUACGAAUCCAAUACUGGUCCAGUGCUGGUACACUGCAGUGCUGGCAUCGGUCGAACUGGAACCUACAUUGCUAUAGAAAUCCUGCUGGAACAGAUGGAAAAAAAACAAUCGCAUUGAUGUCAGUAAGGUGAUGAUCGACAUGAGAGACCAGCGAAACGGAAUGGUCCAGACCAAGAUUCUCCUGACAAGUACAAACUAUUUGUUGGAUGCCAAGACAAUAUGUUUGCAAUGUUUCCGCCUUCCAAACUGGCAAAACAUGGAUAUCUUCUAGUAUCGGACACAAAAGUCACAGAAGACGGGUUCUGGAAACUUACAUGACUCGUUCAUCAUCAUUUCUUUGAGCUCAGAGAGUGGUGCUAAAAUUCAUCCCAAGACUGUCUGGUUCCAUGACUCACGGCGGUACAACUAUAACAACACGACGACAAACAUCAGUCUAUCAAGAGAUUACAGAGAAGAUACUACAUGUGGAGGCAAAUAGAGAAACUGAGAAAUACAUCAUUACAGUAUUUAUGGAUGGUCUUCCACCCAUGAGUCUUUAAAACUGAUGUCUAUUUUGACAAUACUCACUGAAAAGAUACACAAGAAACAGAAGGAUGUUGGACCACACCCUGUGACAAUUGUGUACAGGGAUGCCGAGGCUAAAAAUGCCAUAUUGCUUUGCAUAGCAAACAAUAUCAUGGCAGGUAUAGAGAUGGACAAAGAAGUGGAGGUUUCAACAACAUCAGGCGGUUUCAAGCCAUCCUGCCUAAUGUAAAAAUCACCAAGAACCCCAGGUGAUCGAACAGGUGAUCGAACAGGUUGAGGUGGUAACUCCAGUGGUAACCCCACCGCCGCAAAAACAGAUCGAGCUUACCGAUGAACAAAUUGAAGAGGUUCGACAGUAUGCAUUAAAGCUGAUGAAUAUGACAGGUGGCUAGUUGCUUGGCUACGGUUGUUUCCUCAGAACUACAAUUGUAAUACCAAACAUGGAUUGUAAUAAUAAAAACUGCAGUGAAUUAUCAUAGUGACUUAAUUUGUGAUAUAAGCUGCCGUGUAAUAGUUAAUUACCAUACUAACUUGUAAAAACUACAGUGAAUUAUUAUACUGAUUUGGACUGUAAUGAAAACUGUAGUGAAUUAUUA